GGGAGAUCUCGUUCCAGUUACCAAAAAUUUUUCCUACCCUUAUCCUAUUUCUCAAUGGAAACAGUUCUGUAUUCUACUGGGCAGGGCUUUCUUAUGCAAUAGAAGAGAAUUUAUUGUAACACAGUUAAAAAUAAUAGUUCAUCUAUUUUCGGGAAUACUAUUUGGUUUCGCAUUUUACGAUAUUGGGAAUGAUGGCAGUAGAGUUCUAGCUAAUAUAUCUCUUAUAUUUAUCCUUAUAUUACUCACAUUUUUCGGCAACUCACUACCUAUAAUUCUGCUUUAUCCUUCGGAAUCUAAUAUUUUUCACAGGGAAUACUUGAACAACCGAUAUUCCUUCUUUCCAUACUUUUACUCAAAGAUUGUUGCAGACCUACCAACACUGACAAUAUGUACA